GUUCCUGGCACUCUCAUUAUCCAGCAUCAUAUAAACCGUUCUAAAUUGUUUUAACUUCUUAAAAUGGGGGGCACCAGGACUGGCACUAUAACCACUGCAGUGCACUGUUGUGGUUAUGGUGCUUGGAGUAUUCUUUUAAUGGUGCAGUGUCGCAGAAUUGCAUGGAAUUUGUUUAGUUUUGAAUAGAGCAGACAAUACACUUUGCGUUUGAGUGACUCUAAUGUAGGGAUUUUGUGUUUGUUG